GGCCACUUAGCUCAGCGGUAGAGCAACCGGCUGUUAACCGGUUGGUCGUAAGUUCGAACCUUACAGUGGCCGCCA
rnacentral:tRNA from 1 species